rnacentral:lncRNA from 1 species
AAAAUUACUACUGGCCAGGGACUGGAAAAUGAAUAGGGAGACUGGCAGAAACAGAGAAGAGCAUAAACAAAAGAAAGUGACUCAGGGCAGAGGGUGAUUUAGAACAGGGGCGAGGACAGCAGCUCAGGGCAGUCAGACAAAGGCUAUCGUUUCUGGUCAGCAGCUGUGAGGUGAAGAAGGGACCAGACCUCUUAAGUAGAGCCCCACCCUGGUCAGAACCUCUCUGCCGAGUCUACCAUCCUCACAUAGACGGCCUACCUGACUCUGAAGAGCCUUAGUCCUUCCCCCAGGUGCCCUGCGGCCCUCGCCUUCCCCUGGGACCCCCUGGACCCCUGACCAUCCUGGAGCAAGUGCUUCUCAGCCCUGAUGUCCCUGGAGACUGAGCUGAGAGGACACAUACUGAAGGACGGGAGCCCCAUUCCUCCCUAGAGCUGCCCACCUGUUUUUCUUAUUUUCUCAGUUUCACAUUAGUGUUUUUUCUGAUAAGUAUCCCCACACUCAUCACUCCUCCAGGCGACAGGACCGGAUCCUGAGGCAGCAGAUCAAACACUGGGGAGAGGGACCGUGUAUCGGAUGCAGUCCUGUCCCUGCAUCAUGAACAGCAGGCUUGUGAGGCCCUGAACUCUGGGGGAUGUUGGAGAUGACGAAGAAGAGGAGAAGGACCAAGAGGUUUUGCAGGGGGGAAAUCAGAGCUUCAUUCCAACGCGGAGAAGAGAGGGAAGGAGACUAAUAUCCAGGCUGAGCCUCUGGGCUGCCCGACCAAACACAGGAUUCUCCCCAGGAAGCUCUUAAGUCUGGAGGAAUACCUGCAAACUCCUUGGCGCUUCAGUAGAAAUGUUAAGGUGCCGUGGAGAGGGACUAUGAUGGAGACUAACUUCCUGGUGCCCAAGAGGCAGAAGCUUCAAAGCUCAUGCUUGGAAACUGCCUCACCUCGCUGUUCCCUGAGUCUCAGCGUAAUCUCCGUUCCAUCUUCUAAAGUCUGCUGAACACUUCUCAGCUUCAUUCAGCUCCUGCUGAGAUGUCCUGCCAGCAAAACCAGCAGCAGUGCCAGCCCCCUCCCAAGUGUGCCCCCAAAGGCCC